rnacentral:rRNA from 1 species
UACGAAGGGGGCUAGCGUUGCUCGGAAUCACUGGGCGUAAAGCGCGCGCAGGUGGCUUGGUAAGUGAGAUGUGAAAUCUCCCGGCCUAACUGGGAGGGGACAUUUCAGACUGGCAGGCUUGAGGACAGCAGAGGUAGGUGGAAUUCCUGGUGUAGUGGUGAAAUGCGUAGAGAUCAGGAGGAACACCGGUGGCGAAGGCGGCCUACUGGGCUGUCUCUGACGCUGAGGCGCGAAAGCUCGGGGAGCGAACGGG